GAUGAACGCUGGCGGCGUGCCUAAUACAUGCAAGUCGAGCGGACGGACGCGACGCUUGCUUCUCUGAUGUUAGCGGCGGACGGGUGAGUAACACGUGGAUCCCCUCCCUAUAAGACUGGUAUCACUUCGGGAAACCGGCGCUUAUCCCGGAUAAUCUUUUGCACCGCAUGGUUCAAUGGUGAAAUACGGUCUUGCUGUCACUUAUCGCUGGUUACGAGCUGCAUUAGCUAGUUGGUAAGGUAACGGCUUACGAAGGCAACGAUGCAUAGCCGACGUGAGGGGGUGAUAGGCCGCACGAGAGCGGAGACACGGACCAUGGUCCUACGAGACGCAGCAGUAGCGAAUGUGCCGCAACGGGCGAAAGCAUGACGGAGCAAGGCCGCGUGAGUUAUGAAGGUCUUCGGAGCGUAAAGCUCUGUUAUGAGGGAAGAACAGAUUUGUAAGGAACUGUGCACAGCUUGACGGUACCUAAUCAGAAAGCCACGGCUAACUACGUG
rnacentral:rRNA from 1 species